CGUUGCCUGGCGCACGUGGCCGCGCGCGGCUCUCGAGGCUCGCGGGCGCCCUCGCCGCCUCCCCCGCCCUGUGUGGCGAGCGCGUCAGGGGCCGGUUCGGCCCCGCUCCCCGCCUGCGGAAACGAGGUGGGGCAUUUUGGGACCAGCGACCCCCAAGUGAUCCCCAAAGGGACAGCCACUGCCUGAGGCGGCGCUGCCUGUGUGGAGCUGUCACUUCCUACCCGCUACAUCCUUGGCACCAUUGCCACCCACAACUGCGGCGGCAUGUCCACAAUUUCUAUUGUGCUUCCCCGUGCAAACAGGAGCGAGGAGCUGCCGUCUGUUAGUCCUCUGCUUUCGCUUACAUCAACCAGCUCUCGUAACUGCUUGGCACAAAAGCUUCAAGCGGGACAAUGUGCUGGUCUCUUAAAACAGACGCGUUUCUCAGUAAGUGCUGUGCUAGGACUUCACCGCCAACAGCAGCAGAGCGCUGUUCUGUGAUACAGUGGUCUAGAUCUUGAAUGAAGACUGUGAGGCACAAUACCAAGCUUUUCCUCCAG